AAAAUAGCGUAAGGAUGAUAGCAUAAAUUGAUGCAAAGUGGCUGCACGCCUUGGCAAUGAGAAACUAUGGUCAGAAGUUACGCAAAGUGUUGUUUCAGCAACGCAAGAACGUGCAUCCUCAUUGUUAAAGCAUUCUCUGUGUGUGUGUGGAGAGUGAGG
rnacentral:lncRNA from 1 species